AUUGAACGCUGGCGGCAUGCCUUACACAUGCAAGUCGAACGGCAGCACGGGGCAACCUGGUGGCGAGUGGCGAACGGGUGAGUAAUGCAUCGGAACGUACCUUUCAGUGGGGGAUAACGUAGCGAAAGUUACGCUAAUACCGCAUAUUCUGUGAGCAGGAAAGCAGGGGGUCGCAAGACCUUGCGCUUAUUGAGCGGCCGAUGUCAGAUUAGCGAGUUGGUGAGGUAAAGGCUCACCAAGGCGACGAUCUGUAGCGGGUCUGAGAGGAUGAUCCGCCAGACUGGAACUGAGACACGGUCCAGACUCCUACGGGAGGCAGAAGUGGGGAAUUUUGGACAAUGGGGGCAACCCUGAUCCAGCCAUGCCGCGUGAGUGAAGAAGGCCUUCGGGUUGUAAAGCUCUUUCGGCCGGGAAGAAAUCGCACGGGCUAAUACCCUGUGUGGAUGACGGUACCGGAAUAAGAAGCACCGGCUAACUACGUGCCAGCCGCCGCGGUAACAC
rnacentral:rRNA from 1 species